rfam:Trichobilharzia regenti genome assembly, scaffold: TRE_scaffold0002626
GCGCUGCUGAAGAGUCCCAAACUAGGACGAAACAGCUGUCCAGUAC